rnacentral:rRNA from 1 species
GCAUAUCAAUAAGCGGAGGAAAAGAAACCAACAGGGAUUGCCUCAGUAACGGCGAGUGAAGCGGCAACAGCUCAAAUUUGAAAUCUGGCCUCUCGGGGUCCGAGUUGUAAUUUGUAGAGGAUGUUUCGGGUACCGCCUCGGUUUAAAUUUCUUGGAACAGAAUGUCAGAGAGGGUGAGAAUCCCGUCUUGGACCGGCGGUAGGGCCUAUGUGAAACUCCUUCGACGAGUCGAGUUGUUUGGGAAUGCAGCUCAAAAUGGGUGGUAAAUUUCAUCUAAAGCUAAAUAUUGGCCAGAGACCGAUAGCGCACAAGUAGAGUGAUCGAAAGAUGAAAAGCACUUUGAAAAGAGAGUUAAACAGUAUGUGAAAUUGUUGAAAGGGAAGCGCUUGCAACCAGACUUGAGCGCGGCGGUUCCCCCUUGCUUCUGCUUGGGUUACUCCGCCGUGUCCAGGCCAACAUCGGUUCUGGGGGUCGGUCAAAGGCCUUGGGAAUGUAUCUACCCACGGGUAGACUUAUAGACCAGGGUGUCAUGUGACCUCCCGGGACCGAGGAACGCGCUUCGGCUCGGAUGUUGGCGUAAUGGUUGUCAGCGACCCGUCUUGAAACACGGACC